CCCCCCUUUUUUAAGCAUAAAAAUUCAUUACACGGAAAUGUAAAAUCUGAAAUUUAUAAAAAUUGAAAGGGAGCUUACAUCAAUAGAUAUAAACAAUUCACCAAAGUUUCAUGGACAUUGGUGAAAGCCUUUUUGAGUUAUUGUCCGAAGUGUUGAAAAUCCCCCUUUUUUUUAUGAAUAAAGCCCCAUAAAUCCAAAACUUUAAAUCUGAAAUUUAUAAAAAUUGAAAGGGAGCUUACAUCAAUAGAUAUAAACAAUUCACAAAAGUUUCAUGGACAUUGGUAAAAGCCUUUUUGAGUUAUUGUCCGAAGUGUUGAAAAUCCCCCUUUUUUUAUGAAUAAAGCCCCAUAAAUCCAAAACUUAAAAUCUGAAAUUUAUAAAAAUUGAAAGGGAGCUUACAUCAAUAGAUAUAAACAAUUCACCAAAGUUUCAUGGACAUUGGUGAAAGCCUUUUUGAGUUAUUGUCCGAAGUGUUGAAAAUCCCCCCUUUUUUAUGAAUAAAGCCCCAUAAAUCCAAAACUUAAAAUCUGAAAUUAAAAAAAAACGAAAGGGAGCUUACGUCAAUAGAUAUAAACAAUUCACUUAAGUUUUCAUGGAAAUUGGUGAAAGUGUUUUUGAGUUAUUGUCCGAAGUGUGGUUGACGGACGGACAGACGGACGAACGGACGGACAACGGUAUACCAUAAUACGUCCCGUCUAAAAG
rnacentral:lncRNA from 1 species